AAGUCGUAACAAGGUUUCCGUAGGUGAACCUGCGGAAGGAUCAUUACCAAAUCCAAAUACCCAACCCCUGUGAACCUGUCUUGUCUGUCUUUGGGGAGUGAGAAAGUAACAUUUUUCCUCCCCAUAUUUAAUAACUAAACAACUAUUUUCUUAUCUUUUUGGAAUAAACUUUUUUUAUUAAUUUAAUAAUAAAAGACAACUUUUAACGGUGGAUCUCUUGGCUCGUGGA
rnacentral:misc_RNA from 1 species